GCCGCGAGUGUCGUAAAUCAGGCGCGGAGCCGGGAGGCGCAGAACGUGGCUGGAGCAGUCCGACAGUCCCAGGAGUAGCAGACGGAUGGUCGCGGGUGUGAGCGCAGAAAGCCGACGAGCCCGCGGUGCAAUAACGCAGAACAAGACUUAGAAAUUACAUCAGUGAAGAAGAAGAAAGGCCUGAUGGAAGUGAAUACAACCACCCACAGGUAGUUGUGAGACAACUCCAGUGACAAUGGGAUGACACCGUGAUACAACCGCCUAAGUCAGAGGCUUCGCUUGAGGGUACAUCACAUUGCCGUACUAAUGUACAAGAUAAGACAUGGUACUUAAAGAAGAAAUUAAAUAAAUAUAGAAGUUGAGUAUGUAUGAAAAUUAACAUAACAUUUAAUCUACAGCUGCUUAAAUAAUAUAGUGUUUUAGAAUACUAAUUUCUGUAUUUUCAUUAUAAUAAAUUUAUUGUAAUUUUACUGUCUUUACAGUGUACUUUCUUCUUAAACUCUGACUUUAGUCCUGCCUUUUAUAUUACACAUUUUUUCUUACAACAUUUACCUCAGAAAAGCUGAUGAUUAUGGAUCAUUCCUCACAUCAGUUGAGACUUUGUCUUUUUAGUAUCAAACAUUGUUUUUAUAUAGAUCUCUCUUUUGCCAUGAUGAAGGAAGCCAGAUAAAAUCAGAGGAUAAUGUUUAAUGAAAUGUUUCAGAAAAUUGUCAUUUUUCUCAUCUUCACUGUUGUGAAUGGAUAUAGAAUCUGUGUAUAUUUAUUUUGUAGAUUUCAGGAUAAUUUGUACAAAAGGUCAUUAUAUAAACCAGUUGAAAUUAAAUACUUCCAUCAUUUCCUUUCCCCUUUAGAUACCCUGUAAAAAUGUAGAUUCACAUUAUGUACAGUAUGUACCCCAAAAUAGAGAAUUAAGAAAAUUAUCUACAUCCAGCCAUUGGACUUUUUAAAGUCUUGCUGAGAUAUAAUUCAUACACCAUAAUUCACCCAUUUAAAAUGUCCAGUGCAGUAUCUCUGACUAAAUUCACAGACUUAUGUAACUGUCCCUGCAAUCAAGUAGAACAUUUUCAUCACCCCAACGAGGAACCCACAUCCCUCAGCCAUUACCCCCAGCUCCCACCUUCCCUAGCCCCAGGCAGCCAACAUUCUACAUUCUGUCUUCAAGGUUUGCCUACUCUGGAUAUGUCAUACAAACGGAAUGACAAUUUGUGGUCUUUUGUGACUAGCUCUUUCAGUUGACAUAAAGUGUUCAGGGUUCAUCACGUUACUGCACAUAUCAGUACUUCAUUUCUUUUUUUUUUAAAUUUUUUAUUAAGGUAUGAUUGACAUACAUCCUUAUGAAGGUUUCACAUGAAAAAACAGUGUGGUUACUACAUUUACCCAUAUUAUCAGGUCCCCACCCAUACCCCAAUGCAGUCACUAUCCAUCAGUGUAGUAAGAUGCCACAUAUUUACUAUGUGCCUUCUGUGUGCUACACUGUUCUCCCCGUGAUCCCCCACAACAUACGUACUAAACAUAAUACCCCUCAAUCCCUUUCUCCGUCCCUCCCUGUCCUCCCUCCCACACCCCUCUCCUUUGGUAACCACUAGUUCAUUUGUGGAGUCUGAGUCUGCUGCCAUUUUGUUCCUUGAGUUUAGCUUCAUUGUUAUACUCCACAAAUGAGGGAAAUCAUUUGGCAUUUGUCUUUCUCUGCCUGGCUUAUUUCACUGAGCAUAAUAUCCUCCAGCUCCAUCCAUGUUGUUGAAAAUGGUAGGAUUUGUGUCUUUCUUAUGGCUGAAUAGCAUUCCAUUGUGUAUAUGUACCACAUCUUUAUCUAUUCAUCUACUGAUGGACACUUAGGUUGCUUCCAUAAACAUAGGGGUGCAUAUGUCUUUUUAAAUCUGAGAAGUUAUAUUCUUUAGUUAAAUUCCAAGGAGUGGGAUUCCAGGGUCAAAUGGUAUUUCUAUUUUUAGUUUUCUGAGGAACCUCCAUAUUGCUUUCCACAAUGGUUGAACUAGCUUACAUUCUCACCAGCACUGUAGGAGGGUUCCCCUUUCUCCACAUCUUUGCCAGCAUUUGUUGUUCUUAGUCUUUUUGAUGCUGGCCAUCCUUACUGGUGUGAGGUCAUAUCUCAAUGUGGUUUUAAAUUGCAUUUCCCUGAUGAUUAGUGAUACGGAGCAUCUUUUCAUGUGUCUGUUGGCCAUGUGAAUUUCUUCAUUGGAGAACCGUCUUUUCAUAUCCUCAGCCCAUUUGUGAAUCAGGUUAUAUUAUUUCUGAGUGUUGAGGCAUAUAAGUUCUUUAUAUAUUCUGGAUGUUAACCCCUUGUUGGAUAUGUCAUUUACAAAUAUAUUCUCCCAUACUGUAGGAUGCCUUUUUGUUCUGUUGAUGAUGUCCUUGGCCGUACAAAAACUUUUUAGUUUGAUGUAGUCCCAUGUGUUCAUUUUUGCUUUUGUGUCCCUUUCUGGAGGAGAUGCAUUCAAGAAGAAGUUGCUCAUGCUUAUAUUCAGGAGCUGUUGCCUAUGUUGUCUUCUAAGAGUUUUAUGGUUUCAUGACUUACAUUCAAGUCUUUGAUCCAUUUUGAGCUUACUUUUGUUUAUGGGGUUAAACAAUAAUCCAGUUUCAUACUCUUGCAUGUAGCUGCCCAGUUUUGCCAACACCAUCUGUUGAAGAGGCUAUCAUUUCCCCAUUGUAUGUCCAUGGCUUCUUUAUCAUAUAUUAAUUUACCAUAUAUGGUUGGGUUUAUAUCAGGGCUCUCUAGGCUGUUCCAUUAGUCUAUGGGUCUGUUCUUCUGCCAAUACCAAAUUGUCUUGUUUACUGUGGCUUUGUAGUAGAGCUUGAAGUUGGGAAGCAUAAUGCCCUCAGCUUUAUUCAUCCUUCUCAGAAUUGCUUUGGCUAUACAAGGUCUUUUGUGGUUCCAUAUGAAUUUUAGGAUGAUUUUUCUCAAGUCCGUUGAAGAAUGCUGUUGGUAUUUUGAUGGGAAUUGCAUUGAAUCUAUAGAUUGCUUUAGGCAGGAUUGUCAUUUUGACAAUAUUAAUUCUUCUGAUCCAUGAGCACGGGAUGUGUUUCCAUUUAUUGGUAUCUUCUUUAAUUUCUCUCAUGAGUGUCUUGUAGUUUUCAGAGUAUAGGUCUUUCACUUCCUUGGUUAGGUUUAUUCCUAGGUAUUUUAUUCUUUUUGAUGCAACUGUGAAUGGAAUUGUUUUCCUAAUUUCUCUUUCUGCUAGUUCAUUGUUAGUAUAUAGGAUUGCCACAAAUUUCUGUGUAUUAAUUUUGUAUCCUGCAACUUUGCUGAAUUCAGAUAUUAGAUCUAGUAGUUUUGGAGUGGAUUCUUUAGGGUUUUUUGUGUACAAUGUCAUGUCAUCUGCAAACAGGGACAGUUUAACUUCUUCCUUGCCAA